UACCGAGUUGGGGAAAGGAGAUGCAGAUGCAGUGAGGUUUUCAAUAAAAGUGAUACUCAGAGUAUCAAGCUCUACACUUAGUUUUCUGUGGUCAUAUUUAGUAUUUGUUUUUGAAUAGCGUUGAGGUGUUUCUCAGGCAAUGGAUGAUUUAUCGGUGAUCCAUGCCGUUUCAAUCUAAUACUCUCAGGUCACACAUCUCUAUUGUCUGGUAAACGUCGGGUUAAAUUCUAAUUAUAUGUGUCUUGUUCUUUUUUUUUACUAUCAAAUUUUGCGAUCAAUCUAGAUUUGAAUGUUUGAAAUUAGAUUUUAUCGAAUUUUUUUCUUCUUUUUAAUUUUAAGUAGUCUAAAUAUUUGGACAAUGCGAACAUAUAUAUAUCUCUAGUCGUAAAAUAUCUCAGUCAAUUUUGCUCUAGAUACUACAUCCUAUACAUUCAUCUACACCAUCCACAUCCCACACAUUCAUCUACACCACCCUCAUUCAUCUACGCCAUCCACAUCGCCAGCCACAUCUUACACAUUCAUCUACACCAUCCACUUCCUACACAUUCAUGUACACUAUUCACUUCUUACACAUUCAUCUACACCAUCCACUUCCUACACAUUCAUGUACACUAUUCACAUCUUACACAUUUAUUGCAUCUAUACAAGCAUAUCACACCCUACACAUACAUCUUACAAGCAUUCUGCGCAUAUCCCUAUACUCAAAUCAUUAUUGCCUGUCUAGCACCUUCAAAUUUAGAUUUCUCUGCUCCGUAACAUUCUCCCUCCAUGACUCCAUUAUCAUCACUCCGUCUACCACUUUUAAAGGAUAUGAAUGUGACGGAUCAGAUCAUUUUCCCUUUUUAAGCCUUUACGUAAGUAACACACUCCAUUUGAUUUUGUGUUCAACAUAAACCGCUGCAAAAUGACAAAAUCAGAUUAAUGAUCAUCCGUUUCAAUCCAUUUCUGAAAUUUUGGUACAAGUUAAACAAAAUUCUAUGUACAUUAUAACAAAAUCGUUUUCAGUGAUCUUUAACCAAUGUAUUUCUUAGAACGAGACAGAGUAUGAUCUAAAUU